rnacentral:rRNA from 1 species
UCGGGAAUUUUGGGCAAUGGGCGAAAGCCUGACCCAGCAACGCCGCGUGAAGGAUGAAGUAUUUCGGUAUGUAAACUUCGAAAGAAUAGGAAGAAUAAAUGACGGUACUAUUUAUAAGGUCCGGCUAACUACGUGCCAGCAGCCGCGGUAAUACGUAGGGACCAAGCGUUGUUCGGAUUUACUGGGCGUAAAGGGCGCGUAGGCGGCAAUUCAAGUCAUCUGUGAAAUCUCCGGGCUUAACUCGGAACGGUCAGAUGAUACUGCUUUGCUAGAGUGCAGAAGGGGCAAUCGGAAUUCUUGGUGUAGCGGUGAAAUGCGUAGAUAUCAAGAGGAACACCUAAGGUGAAGACGGGUUGCUGGGCUGACACUGACGCUGAGGCGCGAAAGCCAGGGGAGCAAACGGGAUUAGAUACCCCUGUAGUCCCUGAGCGGGCUGGCAAGGCGCAU